CAUUUACGAUGAACCAGCCAGGUGCUAUGACAGCACGUGGUGCUAUGUUCUGUACAAGUAGUGUUUUAAACAUUGCAUACAAAUUUAAUUGUAUGGCAUACUUCUUAUUUUGUUGUAUAGGCGUUGAAUCUGAAUCGGAGGCAUAUCCAUAUGCAUACAGAUUUAAUAGCAUCCAUCCAUAUAUCACAAAAUCUGCUGGAUUACAUGGAGUUGACAUCAUUCAUCACACAAUAAAAUCAUUAAACAGUAAACAUCUAUCUUAAAAUUGAAAAACAGUCUCGACACAAUAAAAUCACUAUUUCCUCCUCCUUGGAGUUAAUUUUUUCUUGCAAGCAUUUGAACUUGAAGGCACAUCAAAAGUAGGUCUCGCUGGAGAUUUAAUAGGUGUCACAGGUGGCGGUGAUGCACCAUCUCCAGCCAAGGCCAUAGCUAGUCUCCUACAAUUAAACAUCAGGGCUGUCAUGAAGGCUAGGAGGCAGUGUGAUUGUGUCUCUUUUCGGUGUCCCAACAACAGAUGAAAAUAGCUCUUGCUCAAGCACCUCUCUAGGAACACAGGACAAUAUGGUGUGGGAUCUCGCAUGAUGUAGUGCAGAAACAACAGCAAGAUGGGGAUCCCGGCAAGAUGAUGAGAUUCAUAUUAGUCAGUUAUCUACCACAGAUCGUGGCUGCUACUCAAGAGAAAUAUGGCAAAUAAAGAUGGGAAGGAGGGAAGUUCGGGAGAGCAGUUGUACAUGGAUCGUGGCUGCCCUUCAUAGUCUCCGAUCAUGGUUGCGCCACCCAUUUUCCGGCCGCUGCCGUCGGCGGUGAUCUCGCCUAGCCCGCCCAGCUUGUUUGUUUCUUGGAUCCUGUUUCUCUGCCAGGAACGAAGAUUCCCACGAGUCCCCUGUUUUGCUGAUUUGGUUGACUCGAUCGACUAGGGAUCUACUAUGUUUGGUUGAGAGUUCCAGCCAUAGGGGUACAGUACGGUAUUACUCAAUGUAUUUUGGGGUCAAAAAAAAUUAAAAGAUCUGUAAAGGAAGGAAUAGGGCAAAUUAUAAAGAAAUUGGUGUAAUGUGUGGCAAAUAGUAAAACACAAAGUAAUGUGUGGCA